rnacentral:rRNA from 1 species
AAGCACUUUAUUUGAUUUCCUUCGGGACUGAUUAUUUUGUGACUGAGUGGCGGACGGGUGAGUAACGCGUGGGUAACCUGCCUUGUACAGGGGGAUAACAGUUGGAAACGGCUGCUAAUACCGCAUAAGACCACAGCACCGCAUGGUGCAGGGGUAAAAACUCCGGUGGUAUGAGAUGGACCCGCGUCUGAUUAGGUAGUUGGUGGGGUAACGGCCUACCAAGCCGACGAUCAGUAGCCGACCUGAGAGGGUGACCGGCCACAUUGGGACUGAGACACGGCCCAAACUCC